GAGAGUCGUAAGCCGAUGGGCUAGACUAUGAGAGUCGUAAGCCGAGGAGCCAAACUAUGAGAGUCGUAAGCUUGGGAGCUAGAUUGUGAGAGUCGUAAGCCGGAGUAAGCUUGGUGCUACUUCUUUAUUUUCUUUUCUUUUAUUAUUUGCUUAUGAAGAAAUGUGAUUGAAAGAAGUAUUGUUGAAACUAAGAUUAAAAUAUUGUGGAAUAUGACUUUGGACUGAUCGUUUUGGAGAAAAUUUGUGACCUUGAGAAUUGAAAUUAUCGAAUUGUAUUGUACUAAGUGAAGAUAUUGAAUUCUGUGUGAUGAAUUGAGAAACUAAAUAUAAUAAGUAAGCUGGAGAUCAGUAAUUGAAUAUAUAUAAACCGCAAAGAGAGUAAGUGAGAGAUGAACUGAUAAGAAUAUGGAAGUAUUGUUGAAUUGAUAGUUGUAGAAUGGAUUAUGUGUUGAAUUAAGAUGGAAGUAGUAAGCCUUGGUAUUUUGUAGUUUGAUAAUUGAUUUUAGAUAGCUAGAGUACAAUCAAUUGUGACACUAACAGACCCAAUUCAUAUAACCAGUCUUUCCUCGUGUUCGAACCCAUGUCUAUUAGUUCAAUUGCUUUGGUAUAUUAAAGCUUGAAUACAACGAGAACAACAUUUUGGCACCGUUGCUGGAGAAAUGAUAACAAUAUGAAAUAUUAGAAAUUGAUUGUAUGGGAGAUAGAAAUAUAUGAUGAAUGAGAACGUGAGAAGAACCAGUUUUAGGAUUACAAAUAUGUGAGUUAUAAUUCAAGGUAGUAUUGAUUUAUAUAUAAUUGAGAGCCAUUAUAAAUUUAAAUAAAUUAGAUUUAUUUUUUUUCAUUAAAAAGUUAAAAAAAUUAUCUAUUUAAAAAUAUUUUUUAUUUUUAUUUUUAUUUUUUACUAAAUAAAAAUCUAAUAAAUAAACUAUGACUAGUUUUGUAGUAUGUAAUUGCUUGAUUGUACUUAUUCCACUUGUUUUGUGUUGUACUUGUUUUGUUCUUAUUUUUGCUACUUCCUUUUUAUACUACUAAUUACAAACAAGUCUUAAUUGAGGCCAUCUUGUAAUUUGGAUUGAAGAAUAAAAUUUAUCUUUGCACCAAAAGAUGAAUAAGUGAAGUUCAAUAGCAAGAUAAGAAAAUGCAUCUUUAUUUGAUAUGACAUCAAUAGCAAGGUUUGAUGAGACUAUGAUUCUAAAAAAAUGAAUAAUCAUCAAUAGAGAUUUUAUUUUUAACAAAAUAAGAGUUAAUUAUCAAUAUCUUAAUAUCAAUAAUAAUAAGAAUUUUAAAGAUUUAUUUUUUUCACUACUAAGAAAUUUAUAAGAACAAUUGUAAUGGCUCUCAAGGUGGUAAAAUUCAAUUUUACCAAGGUCUUGAAAUCUUCUAUAAAAAUUCUAAAAAAAUUGUAAAAAAUAAUAUAAUAAUUUUAUAAUAAUAAUAUAUAUUCAAAAUUAUAUUUUUAUAUCUUGAUAAUAUUUUACAAUAAUAAAAUAAAUUUAUAUCCAUUAAAAAUUCUAUUUUUUAUAUAAUUAACAAAAAAGACAUGAAGUUCUCUUUUAUGCUUUUUUUAACAAGUAACUAAUAUUUAUAGUUUUUUUUAUAAGUGAUACAUAUAGAUAUAAGGCCAAUAUAAAUAUUAAUCUUUAAUACUCAAUAAUGAAUAAAAAUACUAAACCAACUAAGAUAAUUACUUCUAAGACUUAUUGAGACUCUAUUUCUACAACUAACAUUUUAAUUUUCUAUUUGUCUAAGGAUUUUUACACUACUCACCAUAUAUUAUGAUUUUAAGAUCUCUAAAUACAUCUUUUUGUUCUAAAAUAAUUAAUGAGUUGAUUUGAUGACUCACAUAUGGCACAUGCAAAUAAGCAAUACAAUCAAAUAUCUUUAGGUAUUGUAAUUUUGGUUUCUUCUUAUAAUAUAAUUCUAUUGGUAUCUUUCUAUUAUUGAAUUCACUUGGACACAAGUUUACUAAGUAGUUUGAUGUAUUAAUAGCUUUAGGCUAUAGGCUCAAAUAUAAUUUAUUUUCAUGAAUCAUACUUUUGGCUUUUUCUACUAUUCUUCUAUUGCACCUAUUAGCAAUACCAUUUUGCUAAGAAAUCAGAGCUUAUAUUAUUUGUCUUGUUAUUUUGCAUUUUUUAAAAAAAUAUUGAAAUUCUUUAAAUAAGAAUUAUCUAUUUUUUUUAUUCUAAGCAUGAGCAAUUUCUUAGUUGUUUUUUUUUUUCUUCAACUUGAGCUUUGAAUAUGUAAAACUUAGAGAAUGUUUCUUUUUUGGACUUAAGAAAGUAAAUCCAACUUUGGUAAGAAAAAUUAUUUUUAAAUACUACCAAGUACUUGGUCUUGCUUAGAGAUGGUUUUUAAAUUUAUCCAACUAUAUCUACAUGCACAAGUUGAAGUAGAUUUUUUGAUCUAUUAAGACUUUAUUUUAAAACCCUCUUUCUAUACUCAUAACCUGCAUUGCAAAUUUUAAAAUUUUCUUUAGGUAUAAUUUUAAUAAUAGAUAAGUUUUUUAUUUUUUUAUUUAUAUAAAUUUUUCUUAAAAUAAAAAAUAAGGUAUCUAAAUAUAUCAUAUUAUAUUUUAAUCUUUUUUAUAAUUGAUAAAUUAACUUCAGUUGUAAAUUGGUUUAUACAAUACAUGUUAUUCCUUGAUUCUUGCAACUUAUUGAUAAUCAUGAUAUGUUCUCUUUUUUUUUUUUUAUCAAUAAUUCAAAAUUCAUCCAUCAAAAAAAUUACUAAAUUUCUUUUUUCUAUAAAGAAACCAAUUGAUAACAAAUUUUCUUUAAAGAAGGUAAAAAUAAAAUAUUGAUUACCUUAUUUGAUUUUCCAUUUUCAAUUUUUAUGUUUAUUUUCCUUUAUUCAAAUGUAAUAUGAAGUUCACCACCUUUUGCUCUUAUUUUUUAAAAUAGACUUACAAGUUUGAAAUAGCUUAAUGCUAAAUUGUUGCUUGUUACAUAUUGAAAGGCUCUACUACAAAGAUUCUAAUUGAAAUUAUUUUUUUCUUUUUCUAAUGGUUUUAGUUAGAUUGAUAUUUACUUCUUGAAAAUCAUCCUCUUAUUUAAAGUUGGAUGAAUUGUUUGUUUCAAUAAUACAUGCCCUUGGCUUAUUAAUAUUUGAUAGUAGCUUUUUAAACCUGCAAUCUUUUGUUAUGUGUUUUGGCUUCCCACAAAUAUAAUGAUAAAUCAAGCAUAUAUUUCUAUUAGCAUGAAGUGUUUUUGUAAUAUCUCGACCCCUCAAGAAAAGACGUCUUCUUCUGUAAGAUGAGUAACUUCCUUUGCUUCUUGUAAUUCUAGUAUUAUACUUUGUUCUUGAAGCUUGAACUACUAAUGUUUUAUUUUUAGAAUUGGCAUUAGUAUUAGCUCUUAAUUAUAAUCUGUUUGUUUAGUUAUUAGUCUAAAUAAAAUCUUUUCAAAACUUAAAAAUUUAUCAAUGGAUGUUGAAUUAUAUGUCAAAGUAUCAAAAGAAAGAAGCAAUUUAUUUAAAAUUGUUUGUACAAGAGUCUUGGCUAGAAUUUUCUCACUAAAUACAACCAAUUGGUUUUUGAUUUUGCAAGUUGUCUUCAAAAAUUCUUCCAUGGAGGUAAAAUUUUAAAACUUCAAAGUUAAUAUAUAAUAGUUGAGAUUCAAUACCAGAGCAAGAUCUCUACUUUUGUACCUGACUUUCAAUGUUUUCUAUAUAUUUGUUAGAUUGUCUUAUUUUGUCACCAUGUCUAAUAGAUAGUCCUUCACAACAUAUAUAAGUUUUUUUUUUUUUUUUUUUUUUUUUUUUUGUCUUUGCCAUCAUAUUACAAAUUUGAGUUUCUCACAAUGUAUGCCCAUUGUAUAAACAUGGAUAUAUUGCUGGUAUAAAUUUCUCAAUAGUGAGCUCCUCUAGGUUUUUUGCUUACAAAAAGAUCUUCAUCCUCAACCUCCAAACAUAUGAAUUUUCUUCACCAAUCAAUUUCUUGGCCUUCUCAACCUACAAGAGAUUAUUGGAGCUCAACAUUAUCAAUGUCUUUAUUAUGCUCUCUUCGCAAAUAGAAUGCUCAUCAUGAUAUACUUAUUUUUAUUCCUUAACAAUGCAACUCUUCUAGAUUUUCUAAGCCUUGCUUUGAUAUUAUGUAGGAUUUUCAUAACCAAAAAUUUCUUUAUUUUCUUUAUAGAAUUCAAUUCAUACAAUUUAAACAUGAGUUGUUCAAAUAAUUUAACUCAAUCUUUUAUUCUAUAUUUUGUUCAAAUUAUACUUCUACUUCUGAUCAUGAUUGGUGUAUAUCCUGACCACAUUGAAAACUAGCAGGUAUGAAGUUUGUCCUUAUAUCACCAUAGUAUCAGCUUAAUAUCAACUUGGUAUCAACCUUGUAUCACCAUGGUAUCAGCCUUGUAUCAAGAAAGAAACCCUAGGUGCCCUUUUUUCCAAUAUUGCAUGCUUUAAAUGGUGAGGUAUGUUGUAUUAUUCUGUAAAAUUGUGUAAUUUUUACAUAGUGAAGUAAAGCUUAAUAUUGUUUAAAUCAAUGGAAAAAGAUUUGAUGCGUUUUUUUAUUUGAUUAUUAAGCAUGACCAAUACAUUGCACUUGAUGUAGAAAAGGAUUUGGUUGAGUAUAUAUUUAUUUAUAGACAUUAAAACCUCUUCUAAUUAUUAUUUUUGUAUUAGCAUCCAUCAUGAAAAUUUAGACAUUUUUAUAACUAAAAUUUGGAUUAUCAACUUCACAAUACUGAUUGCCAUUUUUUAAUAAUUUAAUGUCAUAAUAGACCAUAUGAUUUUUAACUUUUGAGUUUUUGUUCUGCAUAUUUGUCAGUAAAAAUAAGAAUCAAACUUUAAGUAUUUUUAAUUCAAUCAAUGGCAAUGUUGAGAUAUGUUUGAAUUUUGAUUAGAAAAAAAUUAAAGAUUUUAAUUAUUAAAAAUAUCAAUGUUAAUAUGUUAUUGAAAUUUUGAAUGUAGUUUUUGCAACUUGUAUUUUUAAAGUAAGUUUUAUAAAUUUUUUAGAAAAUAAUAGAUAGAGAUUUUGAAAAUUAAUAUAAAUAAUAUUUUAUUCUUUAUAAAACAACAUUGUGCAUUAAAAUUAUGAUAUUAGAAUUGUGAUGAUUAAAUGCACAUACUAUAUAUAACAAAUUUUAGAAUAAAAUAUAUAAAAUUAAUAAUAAAUUAUCAUUAUUAAAAUAAAAUUUCAUAUUUAUAUAUGUUUUUAGGAUUUAUGAUAUAAAAUAAUUUUAUUUCUAGUAAAUUAUAUAAAUAUUUUUUUUAAAAAUAUUCAAAAAAGAUUAAAUACUAAUAAU
rnacentral:lncRNA from 1 species